UCUAAGAUGUGUCAUUUACCUCCUGCAGCAUUUAUUUUCCUUCUGUGGACUAUUUUGGCAUUUCUUCUAUCUUAGUUUGUCUUUGUCUAUGUCCAUCAAGAUGAAGAAAGUCUCUUCUCAGCAGCUAAAGACACUAGUGAAAGUAGAUGUUCAGGAGAGACAAGCAAUAUGCCUCUCUCCUUAUGUCCAGUUAGGUUUGUUAUCGCUAUUUUCUAUAUAUUCUGCAUUUUUCUACAAGUCAUGAUCAAGUGUGAGAUCCAGCUCAUCUGUAUGUCAUAUAAAACUUAAAUAAAAGUGUGAUGCUGAAACCAGUUGUCUUUACGUUCAGUUUUCCAGCUGGAUUAGUCCAGUGCAGCAGGGCUGGGCCUCCAUCACCUUCCCCACCAUUGUUUUUCAACUUUCAGUCUGGUGUGUUGGACCCAUCCCACGCUCUUUGGGCACUCCUAUGGACCUGGAGAGAAUAGAGUUCAAGAUAACUGGAUGUACAAAUGGAGUCUGUUUUGUGGAAACUUUGUUAGCUUUUUGCAAUAUGUAGGUUGCUUUCUUCUUCUUAAAUGGUGCUGGUUUCAUCUUUCCCUUCUUUUGAUACACCGCUUGUGAAGAAGGCAGGCCUCUAUUGCUAAGACUGCAUUGAGUUUAUAGUUAAAGUUGUUAAAAUGUUGUACAAAUAGGCACAUGGUCAGCAUCUUCCCUGGCAAAGGUGAUGUAAGGUAACAGCAAAACCAAGGGCGGGCAGUGCUGCAGGGAAUUCUGGAAAUUACAGAAGCUGGCCUCAUGUUUCCCUUGACCACGAGCUCACCUUGUCUUCAAACCUUGUUUUCCAAAGGUGGUCCUCAUUUCUUCCCUUUUUCUUAUUUACAGACUGGGUGGCUAGAAAGGGAGAGUGAUGUCUUGGGCUGUGGGGUAUUCUGCCCACCCUCUGAGAGCCUGAGGAGGGCUGGUUUUAUAGAAAGGGAGGGAUGUAGGUAUGUGCAGAUGCGUUUAUGUUGUCAGAUAUCUAACUUAGCCAGUUUUGUAAAGUCAUACAAAGUAUUUUUAAUGAUAUCUGUACUUUGCAUAAAGCUAUGAAUGACAUAUGACAUGCACUGAGUAAUUCAGUAAAAUACUUUUCUUCAAGUU
rnacentral:lncRNA from 7 species